rnacentral:rRNA from 1 species
AGUGAACGCUGGCGGUAGGCCUAACACAUGCAGGUCGAACGGCAGCACAGUAAGAGCUUGCUCUUACGGGUGGCGAGUGGCGGACGGGUGAGGAAUACAUCGGAAUCUACUUUUUCGUGGGGGAUAACGUAGGGAAACUUACGCUAAUACCGCAUACGACCUACGGGUGAAAGCAGGGGAUCUUCGGACCUUGCGCGAUUGAAUGAGCCGAUGUCGGAUUAGCUAGUUGGCGGGGUAAAGGCCCACCAAGGCGACGAUCCGUAGCUGGUCUGAGAGGAUGAUCAGCCACACUGGAACUGAGACACGGUCCAGACUCCUACGGGAGGCAGCAGUGGGGAAUAUUGGACAAUGGGCGCAAGCCUGAUCCAGCCAUACCGCGAGGGUGAAGAAGGCCUUCGGGUUGUAAAGCCCUUUUGUUGGGAAAGAAAAGCAGCAGGUUAAUACCCCGCUGUUCUGACGGUACCCAAAGAAUAAGCACCGGCUAACUUCGUG